rnacentral:lncRNA from 1 species
CAAGCUGGCUUUCUGUAGACUACAAACUCAAAAUUAUUGUUUACUACUUUAAGACAUCUAGGAAAUGUAUAGAAUUGUUUGAAGCUUGGUCUAAGAUCAUUUAAGUCCUAAGGUGUUAUCAGACAGGCAUCAAUGAGCUCUGAAGAUUUAUGGAAGGAAGAAAAUCAAACACAGAUAUCAUCAAUGUAUCUAGUAAAAGAUAAAAUUGGGGACAAGAAUGAAGGCAAAACUUUUAUUUCUCUGAAAUGCAAAAUCAACUCUGCCAUUACUUCAGCCAUUGACCUGCCCAAAAAACAUACCUCUGAAUUGAAAAUAAAACUCAUAAGACAAAAAAACAUUGCCUAUCUUAUUUCUUGCGAGUUGUGUAUUUGGUUAUCUAUGCCAUAUGAGAAUCUAUAGAGGAUCAAAUAUACUAGCACUGCUUUCAGCAAAGGAUAUAAUUUAGCAUAAUCAUAUAUUGUAAACUUACUAUGUGAG